rnacentral:rRNA from 1 species
UACAGAGGGGGCAAGCGUUAUUCGGAAUUAUUGGGCGUAAAGGGCGCGUAGGCGGCUUGGCAAGUGGAAGGUGAAAUCCCUCGGCUUAACCGAGGAACUGCCUUCCAGACUGCUUUGCUUGAGGCCGGGAGAGGCGAGUGGAAUUCCCAGUGUAGCGGUGAAAUGCGUAGAUAUUGGGAGGAACACCAGUGGCGAAGGCGGCCCGCUGGACCGGUUCUGACGCUGAGGCGCGAAAGCCAGGGGAGCGAACGGG